UACGUAGGGGGCAAGCGUUGUCCGGAUUUACUGGGCGUAAAGAGCGUGUAGGCGGCCAUGCAGGUCCGUUGUGAAAACUGGAGGCUUAACCUCCAGACGUCGACGGAAACCGCGUGGCUAGAGUCCGGAAGAGGAGAGUGGAAUUCCGUGGGUGUAGCGGUGAAAUGCGCAGAUAUCAGGAAGAACACCAAUGGCGAAGGCAGCUCUCUGGGACGGUACUGACGCUGAGACGCGAAAGCGUGGGGAGCGAACAGG
rnacentral:rRNA from 1 species